UACAGGGGGUGCAAACGUUGCUCGGAAUUAUUGGGCGUAAAGCGCGCGUAGGCGACCGCUUAAGUCGGAUGUGAAAGCCCCUGGCUCAACUGGGGAAGUGCACCCGAAACUGAGUGGCUUGAGUACUAAAGAGGGUCGCGGAAUUCCCGGUGUAGAGGUGAAAUUCGUAGAUAUCGGGAGGAACACCGGUGGCGAAGGCGGCGACCUGGGUAGAUACUGACGCUGAGGCGCGAAAGCUAGGGGAGCAAACGGG
rnacentral:rRNA from 1 species